UGUGUCUCGUGGUUCCUGGUUAAACACAGACCCGGGACUCUGGUGUUUACUCCCCGUGUUUACCGUCACGGUACACACACACACGCACACACACACACACACACACACACACACACACACACACCUGGACGGCGUCGAUGGUUCCCUUUGUGCUGCCACUGUUUAACGGAGCCGUUUCCGGUACAGUGAUCCAGCACAGACCGUUACAGAGACCCGUUACAGAGACCCGUUACCCUCCGUGGUCUCGGUACCGGUGGACUGAAGCUAACCGCCGACUCACAGACCUGCUAACCCCCCAGAGUCCCGGAGAGAGAGAGAACCAGGAAGAAGGUAGAAACAUGAAGGAAGACUCACGGGGAGAGGGGGAGUCUGCUGCCCGCUGCCAUGUCCUCUCAGCCCUCAGACCUGAGGACAGCCUGUCACACCUGAGUCUCUAUAGAUGGUGGAGUCAGCUGAUCACUCAAACAAAGACUCCUGUUGUUUCAUCUCAAAAGACUCAGACGUCGUGUUUCAGACUGAUUAUCAUCAGGAAUGUGAACUAGACCAACAUCUGAUCCCUCGUCAGUCCAGGUCCAGGAGAACAGGUUGGUCCUGCUCUGACCUCGGAUCAGAAGACGGAUCAGACAUCUGAUGAUCUGAUCUUUGUUCCUCUGAUACACUUUAACGUCACACCUGCUGAACACUUACUCAGGAGCAGGAUCAUCAGCAGACAACAGGGGGCGCCAAAAUCCAGACCAUCAAAGUCCCUCAGGGGUCCAGAGGUUCACAUCAAGGUUCAGAAAGACUCCUCAGAGUAAACAUGGAGACUCACCUGUCCUCUGAAUGACGGAGGUGUGACUCAGAGCCAGGACCAGCAGGUAUGACUCAGAGCCAGGACCAGGAGGUGUGACUGAGACACCACUCUAUGUCAAAUCCUGAACAGAGACUGUAAUGGUGGUUUUGGUUCCUCUUCAGACUUAUAAACCCUGUUCAGUGGAAACUGAGAUUUGUUCUUAGUCUCUGAUUGAAAAUAUCCAGUAUUGGGGCGCUGGUGGCCUAGCGGUCUAAGUGCCCCACAUAGAGGCUAUAGCCCUUGUUGCAGAGGUUGCUGGUUCCUUUCCUGCUGGUUUCAUCUUCAUUUCCUUCUCAGUUUAACAGACGGCACCCUGCAGUGAAGAGGAGAGCCACAAGGGGGCAGCAUGGGCCUGACAGAGACCUGCAGGAUCAACCUUUAACGCCACAGUGACUCUCUCUCUGCUGAUAUUAAGUUUAAAACAUUAUUUAAUUUAACUUCAUGGUUAGUUUGUGUUCUGAAGAAAUUCAACAUGUCAAUUAAAGUUAAUAUGAUUUAAAUAAUUCAACAUGUGUCUCACACAAGAGAACCAACCAGAGAGCUUUCAGUGUUCAUGUCCCUAAACUCUGAUUUCAAAUAAAUGUCCUUAAA